GGUCGAGAGAGGUAUAUUUGGUUUAGGGCUAUGAUGAUUUUUCUCUGAGCCUAACCUGCUCUUAUACCAUGUAGAAUUGGUGAAGAAUGCAUCACUCUCCAUCCACCAAAUCCAUUCCAUUUCUGGAUGUGAAAGCAUCAACUUCCUAAUCAGAGGCAGCUUUACCCAAACACCAGACAUCACCUCAUCAAAAAUGCCAUGUUGUACACUAUCUCAAUGUUGUGGAGUCUGCAUAAUCAAUCUUGUUCUUGAUAGACUUGAGCAGGUUGUGGAAUUACCAUCUUCGUCCUCUUCGUUGGAUCUGAUUUGGGCUACGAACCGAUUGGCCUCUUCCACGUAGUUUGUGGUUGAGAUAUCUGGCAAGGAGGAAUGCAGUGAGCUGUCAAUGGUGCUUCUAAAGAUGAGAAGAGUGACCACACCUGAGAGGAUUGUGAGCUUGAGGUUUAUGCUUCUUUGGCCACCUUGGUGGUGGUGGUGGUGGCUGAGGCGGAGACACCCUCAUUAACCAUGCUGAUCAAACCAAAUGUUGAGUGUGUGAAGAUGAAAUGAUAUGAUAAGUGGAAGGAAAUGUGAAUAUGUGCGACUUCAAUCAAAAUGAUAAAUUGUCAAGUUGAGAGAUGUAAGCUUGCAAGGAUGUGUGCAUCCAUUUAAUGAGAUGAGUAGAAAUUGGAAAGUAAUCAAACUUUUGCUCUAACUAACUGCCAUCAUUUAUUAAA